rnacentral:rRNA from 1 species
UUGGAGGGCAAGUCUGGUGCCAGCAGCCGCGGUAAUUCCAGCUCCAAUAGCGUAUAUUAAAGUUGUUGCAGUUAAAAAGCUCGUAGUUGAAUUUCGGGAUCAAUUUGCUGGUCGUGCCUUCGGUACGCACUGGUAUUAUUGGUUUCUCCUUUCUGAUGAAUCGCGAUGUCAUUAAUUUGGUGUCGUGGGGAAUCAGGACCGUUACUUUGAAAAAAUUAGAGUGUUUAAAGCAGGCUCACGCUUGAAUACAUUAGCAUGGAAUAAUGAAAUAGGACGUUUGAUUCUAUUUUGUUGGUUUCUAGGAUCGACGUAAUGAUUAAUUGGGAUAGUUGGGGGCAUUAGUAUUCAAUUGUCAGAGGUGAAAUUCUUGGAUUUAUUGAAGACUAACUACUGCGAAAGCAUUUGCCAAGGAUGUUUUCAUUAAUCAAGAACGAAAGUUAGGGGAUCGAAGACGAUCAGAUACCGUCGUAGUCUUAACCAUAAACUAUGCCGACUAGGGAUCGGAUGAUGUUAAUUUUUUAAUGACUCAUUCGGCGCCUUACGGGAAAC